AACGAACGCCGGCGGCAUGCCUAACACAUGCAAGUCGAACGAGACCUUCGGGUCUAGUGGCGCACGGGUGCGUAACGCGUGGGAACCUGCCCUUAGGUUCGGAAUAACUCCCCGAAAGGGGUGCUAAUACCGGAUAAUGUCUUCGGACCAAAGAUUUAUCGCCUUUGGAUGGGCCCGCGUUGGAUUAGCUAGUUGGUAGGGUAAAAGCCUACCAAGGCGACGAUCCAUAGCUGGUCUGAGAGGAUGAUCAGCCACACUGGGACUGAGACACGGCCCAGACUCCUACGGGAGGCAGCAGUGGGGAAUAUUGGACAAUGGGCGAAAGCCUGAUCCAGCAAGGCCGCGUGAGUGAUGAAGGCCUUAGGGUUGUAAAGCUCUUUUACCCGGGAUGAUAAUGACAGUACCGGGAGAAUAAGCUCCGGCUAACUCCGU
rnacentral:rRNA from 1 species